AUUACGUAUGGAAUAUUCUCUAUGCCUUGGUCUGCAGGUGCAUGCAAUGCGAAACAAAAUCAUUAAAGUCAGUCAGAAGAGGUACAUGGUCACCUGUUGCUGCAUUAGAGAGCAGCAUCAAAAGGAGCAAGCGAGAACACCAGAAGUUGACCUGGGUCCCCAGCACAGCUAUGGAACAACUGAGAGAUUGGAACCACAUGAAGUGAGGGAAACCCAGGCCAACAGGGCACGGGGGAGGAUAAGAAGAAGACAGCAAAAGAGUUUCACAAACCAGGCCAGAGAUGCAGCCGUACUUGGUGGCCGGGGACACGCUGCAGAGAUAGACAAUGUUGGAGAAGAGCCCCUGAGAAUGAACACACCAUCCCCUCCAAGCAGCAGGCCAGCUACUCUGCUGCUGCAACCAAAGUCCCAAGUAAUAACCGCCACGCCCACACCUCCGAGCCGACACGGAACACCUGGGACGCAACGCAGACCGGGGCAUAAAAGGCUGCGUCAGACCAGCAGCUGAUGCAGAACCUUGUUCAGCCUCCUCAUUAGCGACCUUCUAGCCAUUUCCUGUUCCCGAACGCCUUCCCCGAUCCCGUCCCUUGUUCCCACGAUCCUGUGCCUCUUUAUGAUCAUCGACCUCUUGCCUGUGUACCGACCUCGCCUUUUGGAUUCUCCCUGUUACGACGUUCGCACCUCGAAGACCAAUCGCCCGUUCUCUGACCUCCUCUCUUGGUUUUCCCCGAAGACACCACGUAUACCGCUCUGCACUUGAGUUCGCCGCUUCCUUCCAGAGCCAGUCAUGACAAUAACUCUGGUUUAAUUUUGUUUCAAAAUAAAAUUUUGACCUAAAAUCGCA
rnacentral:lncRNA from 1 species